rnacentral:piRNA from 1 species
CAGUAUUCACCUUGGACCUCCACAAGC